rnacentral:rRNA from 1 species
UCGAACGGACUAGUCCACUGAAACCUUGAGAGAAGCUUUGAGUAGCAAUACGAUUGGCCGAUCAACAGGUGGAUGUGGUUCGCUAGUUAGUGGCGAACGAGGUAGUAACACGUGGAUACGUACUCCCAAGUCGCGAAUAACGCACCGAAAGGUUCGCUAAUACGCGAUGGUCCCUCCGGGGUAAAGUUUUAACGCUUGGGAAACGGUCUGCGGGAUAUCAGCUAGUUGGUAGGGUAACGGCCUACCAAGGCAAUGACGUCUAGGGGAGCUGAGAGGCUGACCCUCACCGAUGGGACUGAGACACGGCCCAUACACCUACGGGUGGCUGCAGUCGAGAAUCUUCCACAAUGGACGAAAGUCUGAUGGAGCGACGCCGCGUGAUUGAUGAAGUGCUUCGGCACGUAAAGAUCUUUUAUGAGGGAAGAAGUUUAUUGACGGUACCUCAUGAAUAAGGGGCUCCUAACUCUGUGCCAGCAGGAGCGGUAAUACAGAGGCCCCGAGCGUUAUCCGGAAUUAUUGGGCGUAAAGGGUGUGUAGGUGGCGCUGUUAGUCGUUUUUGAAAGCCCGGGGCUCAACCUCGGGAACGGGGGCGAAACGGCAGUGCUUGAGUAGAGAAGAGGUAAGCGGAACUCUCUGUGUAGG